GUCAAAUGUAGUGAUGUUCUCACGGUGUUUCUCCAUGAGUAACCGCGCAGUGUGUAUUGUGUCAGUAGUUCUACAGUUCUUAACAAAUCCGGCUUGAUUCACGGUUAUUUCAACGAUUUCACGAAUACGGUUAUCAAGAAUGCGUACAAAAUUUUCCCAAGGUGUGGGAAAAUAACCGGAUCGGACGUUCAAUAUGCAUGGAAGCAUACCUUAAGAAAAUAUGACAACAGUAGGUCAGCAGUGAUAGCAACAGAUUUAACAGAAAGAGGAAGACAAACCAGAAGCUCUACAUGCCAUGACGGGAGACACGCGAAACAAACAACGGACCGGCAAGAUUACCGUCCAAAUGUUUGGAAGUGGAAGAAUAUUUGCGUUUAUUUAUGGUAAAAUAUCCGUUGUUAUAUUAGAAAUUUUUAACUAGAUAGAUUUGACUAAAAAGAUAUCAAUUAUUGAUCCGGGCGUCGUCGGCGUGUUUACACCCUACUUACAAGUUUUUUUAAAAUUUUUAUAUUCUUUCAUUUUUUCCAUUGACUUUGCAAGAGUGUACAGAACUGUUUUCCAUUAGAUGCAAAUCAAUUUUUAUAAAUUA